rnacentral:rRNA from 1 species
UAAGUAGGGCGGGACACGUGAAAUCCUGUCUGAAGAUCGGGGGACCACCCUCGAAGGCUAAGUACUCCUUGCUGACCGAUAGCGAACCAGUACCGUGAGGGAAAGGUGAAAAGCACCCCGACGAGGGGAGUGAAACAGUACCUGAAACCGAACGCCUACAAUCAGUCGGAGCCCCCUUGCGGGGUGACGGCGUACCUUUUGUAUAAUGGGUCAUCGACUUGGU